rnacentral:rRNA from 1 species
CUAAACUGAGGGAGGUACGUCGAAACUGACCGGCUAGAGGGACGUAGAGGUAAGCGGAACUCUCGGAGUAGCGGUGAAAUGCGUAGAGACCGAGAGGUACCCCGAUGGUGAAGACAGCUUACUGGGCGUCUCCUGACGCUGAAGCGCUAAGGCCAGGGGAGCGAAGGGGAUUAGAUACCCCCGUAGUCCUGGCUUCAAACGAUGUGGGCUUGGUGUCGGCCCCCUAUAGAGGGUCGUUGCCGGAGUUAACGCGUUAAGCCCACCGCCUGGGGAUUACGUCCGCAAGGAUGAAAUUCAAGGGAAUUGACGGGGGCCCACACAACCGGUGGAGCACGUGGUUUAAUUCGAUGAUAAGCGAAGAACCUUACCAGGGCUUGACCUAGCGGUAGUAGAACCCCGAAAGGGGAACGACCUCAAGCUUUGCUUGAGGAGCC